UACGUAGGCAGCGAGCGUUGUUCGGAAUUACUGGGCGUAAAGAGUGUGUAGGCGGUGCUCUAAGUUCGGUGGGAAAUCUCCUGGCUCAACUGGGAGGGUGCGCCGGAAACUGGAGUGCUUGAGCGUGGGAGAGGAAAGCGGAAUUCCUGGUGUAGCGGUGAAAUGCGUAGAUAUCAGGAGGAACACCUGUGGUGUAGACGGCUUUCUGGACCAUAGCUGACGCUGAGACACGAAAGCGUGGGUAGCAAACAGG
rnacentral:rRNA from 1 species